ACAAAUAUAGCUCAGUUGGUUAGGGUGUAGUGCUGAUGAUGCCAAGGUUGCAGGUUCGAUCCCUGCAUCUUCCUGAA